AUGAUUUUUGAAUCAGAAGAUAAGGCAUAUACUUUUUACAACUUAUAUGCUGGUAAGGUUGGAUUUAGUAUUCGAAAGAGUCACUCAAAGCUCAGAAGAGAUGGCACCGUAUAUCAAAAACACAUUGUUUGCAGCAAUGAAGGAGAACGAGGUACUCAUUCCUCACAUGAUACUAAAAAGGAAAAUGCUAACACCAGGUCAUCAUGUAGUGCUCGUGUUCAGUUUACUAUCUGUCGGAAGGGUAUUUGGAGGGUGCAAAGGUUGUACUUGAACACAAUCACUACCUUGCAAGUCCAAAUAAAAAGCAUAUGUUGAGGUCACAACGUCGUUUGAUCAAGGCCGAUAGACUUUUAAUUAGUCAGAUGCGGCAAGCGGGAAUAAGGCCAGCUGAAAUGUAUAGCUUUUUCAAGCAGUGGUAUGGAGGGGCUGAGAAUGUACCUUUUUUGCGGGUAGAUUGCAAUAAUCAUGUUGGUCGUGAGCGCAAGAAAUAUCUAGAAGUGAAUGAUACUCAAACAUUGUUAGAAUACUUAAAGAACAAGCAAUUAGAAUAUCUUCAUUCUUUUAUGCCAUACAAUUAGAUGAAGAGAAUGGACGGGUUGCUAAUUUCUUUUGGCAGAUGAUCAAGCUAUUAUUGAUUAUGCUUGCUUUGGUGAUGUUUUGUCAUUUGACACCACUUUUCAAACAAAUAAGUUUGAAAUGCCAUUUGCCCCACUCCUUGGAACAAACCAUCAUAAACAAACGAUUCUUUUUGGAGCAGCACUAUUGUUCGAUGAAACUACUGAAUCUUUUAUUUGGUUGUUUAUCACAUUUCUGACCGCAAUGUCUGGCAAGCAACCUUCCACAGUUUUCACAGAUCAGUGUGCUGCCAUGGCGAAAGCAAUUAGCAUUGUGUUUCCAAGUGCAAAGCACCGUUUAUGUUUGUGGCACAUUUAUCAAAAUAUUGGUAAACAUCUUAGCCAUGUAAUUGCCAACAACACUAAAUUUCUCUCGGAUUUUAAGAGAUGUGUCUACGAGGAGAGGUCAGUGGCACACUUUGAAAAAAAUGGAAAGAGCUAUUAAGUGCUUAUAACCUUGAGGGGAACCAAUGGUUGGCAGGACUGUAUAUUUUGCGUGAGAAGUGGGCUACUGUCUUCCGACAUGAUUCAUUUUCUGCGGACAUGACUUCUACUCAAAGGAGCAAAGGUUUGCUAUGCAGACAUGCUAUCCGAGUUCUAAAUAUUAAUGAAGUUUUCAUCUUGCCACCUCAAUAUAUACUAAAUAGAUGGACUAAAUAUGCAAAAUGUUGGUUGUAUUCUGGAAGACACAUAAUUGAAGAGUAGACCUUACAAACACAUGCUGCACGGAUUGCUCGAAAGGCAACAUCCAUUGCAAUGAAAUGCUCUAUUUCAAAAGAGCUUCUCAAAGAUCUGGAAGACGCAAUGGAUAAGUUAGAAAUGAAAGCAAAUAAUUUCUAAGCCAAAAAAGACAUGUGAAACAUUCAGGAGCUUCUCAAAGCUCAAGUGAGUGUUAUCUAGAUAUAACAAAAGGAAGAGUAUCAUUUAGAGUUCCUCCAGCAGUAAAAGGACCAAAGAUCAAAAGAUCAAGAAAUCCACUUGAAAAGAAUAGCUCAAAGAAGACCAACACCAGGAGAAAGAAAAGCAAUGAAAGUUCAAAAAAGGAAACAAACAACACUCUGGAUGGAGAGGGGCCAGAACAAUUGGUUGCAAUGCAGAUAGCCCAGGAGAAAGAACAGCAGGAAGGAUCAUUUGAUGCGAAUACAAGUGCCAGUAACAAAGUUCCAGACAUUUCUUUAAUCGUGCCUCCUGAAGAUUCAUCAACCAUGUUUGUUCCAUUUAUGCGUGGAGAAUAUACAGAACUGUUACUUGGAGCUGAAUUACAAGCUGCUGGCCCUUCACGUAGAAUAGAUUUCUGAUGAAGUGGUCAUUCUUCUGCAAAGUCAGUGGAACCAUCUAAUGUGCUUAGUUACCUUUUUAUUUCGAUAAUGAUGUAUACAUUAUCUCGUGCAGUACUGGAUUUUUCAUUUUACAAACUGCAGUAAUGUUAUAAGAAAUAAAUUCGGUAAUGUUGCGACAAAU